UUAAAAUUCUCGAGCGCCUUUCUUUCCCCCAUUUCUCCCAGCUCUCUUUUCCUCUCUCUCAUCUCUUUGUCCUUCCCUCCUUCAUGCCUACAGCCUUGUUGCACUACCCUUCCAUUCGUCUGACCUAACCCUUUCGACCAUUCGCCUGUCUAGCUUAGCCCUUCCGCCCCUCCUCCAAUUGCUCUACCCAAGGUUGCCGAUCGAUUUUGCUCUCCCCACGGAGUUACUACCGUUCAUUUUUGGUGAAGCUUUAGCCGUUGGAUUUCACUGAUUUUGUUGCCCAUUUUGCUCUCGUUAGUGGUAGUUUCAAAGCCCAGUGGGUUCGAGAAGACCUAUUUCAUAAAGGGUUUACCAAUGCGUACACAAUAUGGGAUGCAUAUGAUGAAUCAUUCCAUGCCGGCCAAUCAUUGGCACAUUUUUAUUGGUGAGUUCAACGAAGUUGUUAUUGAAGUCAUAGUAGAAAAUCCAUAUGUUGAAAUGGUUAUGGAUACUUUACUAUUGAAGUUUUAGUUUAACGGUAAGACUUGAGAGGAACCGAUCUUUCUUAAAGAUCCAAAUCCAAGUGCUGCAUUCUUUUUUUUUGUUGUUAAAUGAUGCCGAUGCAACUUUGUGGGUCAAAUGUGAUAAGAACAAAAAACUAUCAACUAUGUUCCAAUUAUUGUAUAUGGAGUUAGAGUUUAAAAUGA